rnacentral:rRNA from 1 species
GUGCCAGCAGCUGCGGUAAUACGUAGGGCGCAAGCGUUGUCCGGAAUUAUUGGGCGUAAAGAGCUCGUAGGCGGUUUGUCGCGUCUGCUGUGAAAGCCCGGGGCUCAACCCCGGGUCUGCAGUGGGUACGGGCAGACUAGAGUGCAGUAGGGAGGACUGGAAUUCCUGGUGUAGCGGUGAAAUGCGCAGAUAUCAGGAGGAACACCGAUGGCCGAAGGCAGGUCUCGUGGGCU